AACAAAAGCUAAUUUUGAAUAUGCUAAUAUUGAACACAUGAUGCAGAUUUCCACACCAUAAAUUGUAAGACAGCAGCAAGGAGUCGUCAAAUAAUAGAUGUGGUUGAUGCCUGCAGCUAAUAGUAAAAAAAAUGUAACUGUUACAUACAGCUAAACUAUCCAUCUCCACACAGCUAUCGACUUACCGAAAGAAGUUGAUCUUUUAAGAAUUAGAUUAUACACCUUAUAUGACAAUUCAUCGACAAGAACAAAGCUUUUUAAGAAAAAUCAACAAGAUUGAAGCAGAAGGACAAUGGAACAAUCUGAAUCAGAAGAUUUCAGAAUUGGAAGUAGUAUUAUUCUAAUUUACGUGUAAAUUUUGAUAAAUUUCUUGACACUGACGUAUUAAUCUUCCAUUCCUGCAACAAACAAAGUCUUAAAUAAGAAAUAAUUCAUCUGCAAUUAACUGCCUAAACUACUGUUUUGCUGACCUCCCAGACAUUAUGAUGGAUCAUUAUCAUUUGAGAAUUUUAAGUCUUUCUGUUUUCCAAGUUCUAUUUUUCAACUUCUUCAAUAACAACUACUUCUGCCUCUUGAUAUUGUUUGCAUUUGAUAUCCUUAAACAAACAAUUCUUUGGAAGCAAAUAACAGGUUUGGAAAAUUAAAUCUCUCUGAAGAACAUGAGCUAGCAUUCUCUUGUCACUAGCCUGAUACUUCAAGAAUCCAGCUAUUCUAGAUUUGCCCACAUUAGUAAUUAGCAAAGUUAGGGGCAUUCUUUGAUUCUUCAGCUAAAAGUACUUUGAUUGCCUUAAUUUUAGGACAAGCAAAUUGCUAACAUGAAUUUACAGUAUCUUGUUUGCAAUAUCUCCCCACUUUUCAAACUGAAGGAAAUCACUCAUAUCAUUAUUAUUUUGAUUUUCCUUGAAAUUUUGCAUGGCAUAUCUCCGCCAAAGUUGCAUGACAGACAUGGAGGCUAAAAUUUUAUGCCAUGUCCAAAAAAUAUGUUUGGCUGUUAAAUACCCAACAUCUCAUGUAAAAAAAAUUGAUUCAAAAUAUAUGACACAAGCAUAAAACUAAGGAAAUUUUUGAUGUACUAAAUAAUAUAUAUGUUUCAUGUACAUGAAAUUGUAGUAUAUUUUCUUUAAAGUAAAUCUUGAUUGCGUGAAAAUAAAUUAGAGGAUGUAUAGUUUUACAACACAACUUGGUAUAGUUGCUCAAGAUGCUAGUGCACAAAGUGUGAAAGUAAGUUACGACUGUCCAAGCUUGUGAAAUAAUAAAACCUAUUCACUGCAAUCUCUAAGGCUGUCAUGUGCAUGGGCAAAAAGACACUUGGAGUAGCUGUUCAUACUUCAUUACGAACUAUUAUGACCUGACCCCAUGAAAUGCCUCCAUUAUUCUUGAUUUGUUUUAUUUUUCUUCUGUGUUUUUAAAUUUCUAUUUGACAUUUCUGAAUUUCUAACAAUUUUCUGUUCAAACUGCCAAAAACCAGAGCAGAAAUACUGAAACUGAAAACUCAUUUGCUCCAACCAAAACUGAAACUGAAACCAAAUUUUUCAAACCACACACUGAUAUAGCUGUCCAGUGAGACUGAUAAGUACCAGCACCAAAGCACACGCAUGGAAAGAGUACCCAAUGUAGCUUCUAUCCUGGCCAUCAUCAUGAAGUAAUCCUUGAAGUUGUACUAGCAGCUAAGUUAGUGUCAAUGUCUCUUUGAAAGUAUGAAACCAAUUUCUCCCAUUAUCAGCUAGGAGUUGUUGAAGUCUCACAACUUGCUCAUAUCUUGAGGCUGCUGAUGUUAAUGCACCAGCAUGUCCAGCAAGCUUUUGUCAUCAGGGAUCCUGUUACACGGUUGAAGACAGCUAGGGUAGUGCUCAUUGAUAUCAGUUUAUUCAAAUACAACUUUUUGAAGGCAUUAUUUACCAGUCUCUUAUUCCACUGAAGAUCCAAAAAACUAAAGCAGGUAACAUAAAGGUAUUGGGACUUGGCAGGUCAUUUCAGCAAAUGAUGACAUCUAUCAGCUACACAAGUGAAAUUUCUUCCUGAAGGAAUGCCACUGAGCAUCUCCACAGCAUUGUUUCUUAAGUGUCCAUAUUUUCGGAAUCCAUGACUGUUUGUAUUUUGUGAAGUCAUGGUUUUGUUUCCUCCAAUUGUAUCGCAUGUAUGUUAACUUUUUACUGAAUUAGGAAACUGCAGUGGAUAAGGUUUAUUUGAACCAUCAAGGACUUUUGAUAGGUGUACUCCAACAGCUAUGCUAACAGGUCUGGCAGUAUUUCACAGUUAUCAUGAAGGAUGUAUCACCCUGAUCUCCUUAUUUCAAGCUUAUAAAGAAAAGGACCGACUCUGAAUGAAAUACAAUUUUGAACCAUCAAGGACUUUUGAUAGGUGUACUCCAACAGCUAUGCUAACAGGUCUGGCAGUAUUUCACAGUUAUCAUGAAGGAUGUAUCACCCUGAUCUCCUUAUUUCAAGCUUAUAAAGAAAAGGACCGACUCUGAAUGAAAUCCGAAACAGUACUCCGAGAGGGAGAUAUUUUCUGUGCUGGAUGAAAAGGCUUGUCAUGCUGAAGAUAUUUAAAGUGAUGAGUGAAGAAUCAGGAGCUGAAGAGGACAAAGUGAACCCUUAUUCUUGUCGGUACUUUGGAAGAUUGUUUUCUUUAUGUCCUGCAGGAAUAUGAACAUGUUGCUUGAGGUGCGAUAAUCUUGGUUUAUCUUGGUGGAUGUUUGUGGACAGAGAGUGAUACCUGAUACCUAAGUUAUUGAAUAAAUAAGUGCAGCCCCAUGACUCCUUGUCAUGAUUAUAAGUAAUAAAUCUUACCACCAUUAACCA